AUUUAUUUUCAACAUAGAUUCCUCUGGUUACUGACGGCGAGAGCAGAGGAGUCACCUUUGCCCUUCCUUCUCACAGAAGCUGCGCAGCUCUUUCCAAGUGCUGCUCCGGUGGUUUCAUCGUGUGACAUCCGCACAGCGUGUAUGUUUCAAGGCCCCGAGGCUCCGGGGCUCCUGCUGCAGCCUCCUUGCUGUCCUGUCAAGGGACCAACGUCUU
rnacentral:lncRNA from 1 species